GUAGGUGGCAAGCGUUGUCCGGAAUUAUUGGGCGUAAAGCGCGCGCAGGCGGUUCUUUAAGUCUGAUGUGAAAGCCCACGGCUCAACCGUGGAGGGUCAUUGGAAACUGGGGAACUUGGGUACAGAAGAGGAAAGCGGAAUUCCACGUGUAGCGGUGAAAUGCGUAGAGAUGUGGAGGAACACCAGUGGCGAAGGCGGCUUUCUGGUCUGUAACUGACGCUGAGGCGCGAAAGCGUGGGGAGCAAACAGGAUUAGACACCCUGGUAGUCCACGCCGUAAACGAUGAGUGCUAAGUGUUAGGGGGUUUCCCGCCCCCCUUAGUGCUGCAGCUAACGCAUUAAGCACUCCGCCUGGGGGAGUACGGCCGCAAGGCUG
rnacentral:rRNA from 1 species